GGUUUGUUGCUGUAAUGGUCAACAUCCCUGAUUGUCUAUCAGGUGCUAUGAGUUCGAUUCUUAUACGAACUG
rnacentral:tRNA from 1 species